rnacentral:rRNA from 1 species
AUUGAACGCUGGCGGCAUGCUUUACACAUGCAAGUCGAACGGUAACAGGCCGCAAGGUGCUGACGAGUGGCGAACGGGCGAGUAAUGUAUCGGAACGUGCCCAGUCGUGGGGGAUAACGCAGCGAAAGCUGCGCUAAUACCGCAUACGAUCUAUGGAUGAAAGCGGGGGACAGUAAGGCCUCGCGCGAUUGGAGCGGCCGAUAUCAGAUUAGGUAGGUGGUGGGGUAAAGGCUCACCAAGCCAACGAUCUGUAGCUGGUCUGAGAGGACGACCAGCCACACUGGGACUGAGACACGGCCCAGACUCCUACGGGAGGCAGCAGUGGGGAAUUUUGGACAAUGGGCGCAAGCCUGAUCCAGCGAUGCCGCGUGCAGGAAGAAGGCCUUCGGGUUGUAAACUGCUUUUGUACGGAACGAAACGGUCUGGGUUAAUACCUCGGGCUAAUGACGGUACCGUAAGAAUAAGCACCGGCUAACUACGUGCCAGCCGCCGCAGUAAGAC